rnacentral:rRNA from 1 species
AAACCAGCACCUCAAGUGGUCAGGAGGAUUAUUGGGCCUAAAGCAUCCGUAGCCUGUUCUAUAAGUUUCCGGUUAAAUCCACUAGCUCAACUAGUGGGCUGCCGAAAAUACUGUAGAACUAGGGAGUGGGAGAGGUAGACGGUAUUCGGUAGGAAGGGGUAAAAUCCUUUGAUCUAUUGAGGACCACCUGUGGCGAAGGCGGUCUACCAGAACACGUUCGACGGUGAGGGAUGAAAGCUGGGGGAGCAAACCGGAUUAGAAACCCUAGUAGUCC